rnacentral:lncRNA from 1 species
CUUUUGGGUUUCGGUCCCCGACCCCCCAGUCCCAACCUUUCUCCCAGUGCCACUAAGUAAGUUAUUCCCGGAGAAACGCCUGGAAAGCAGGAAAGAGCCGAAGCUCGGGGAGCAGUUUUGUCUGCUGGUUGUAGGGGUUCGGCUUUUAGGGUUUUGUGAGAUAAGGAAAAAGAGGCUCUGGGCACUGCCUCCCACCGGGCUGAAAUCCGUGAGAGGCAGCCCCGGCGCGGGAGCCGGAGCCUGCACCGCCCAGAGGGGGCGCAGCGAGCGGCCGGGACGGAGGGGAGGGGCCCUAUCCCUGAGCUUUGCUUGCACCUGGUGGCGCCCCAGCCUGCUGCCCCAUUCAGUCCCUUCUGUCCUGUCCACUGCAACUGGGACCUGGUCCCGGCUGCUGCAUCAUCACCCCAUCCUUAUAUGAUGUCUCUGGGGUCACUGGAGACAAAGAAUGGCCUUUUCCAAGAAUGACCCAGGCUGCCUUCAAAGUUGAAUUUGUCAGGAUAAGCCCCUUAGACAAAGGUCUACUCCACUCUUUGAAUCUAACUUGCUUUGUGCUGUUAUUCCAGGGGCCCCUCAUAGUGCUCCCCUCUUGCACCCCCUCUUUUUCUUAUGGUCAUCAAAAACAAUGGUUCUACAUUUCCAAAGUCUUCCCAUAAAUUGCUUCUACCUAUGAACAGAACUCUCUUUUAUGCUGUCUUUUUCCUAGGGAUGAAUGGAUUGACAAAUUGUAAGAGUAGCGAAUACCAUUGGCUAGUAAUUUUAUAAUGGCCCUUUCAAUAACUGGCUAUUCUUGUGCUGCUUUAUGAAGUGGCUUUCCUUCCACAAGGCACAGAAUCUCUACCUCAAAGAAGGUGACCUUAUUUUAGAGAGAAGGCUUACGGAAACCUCUUAUUUCCAAGAUUAUUUUAUUCUACAUACAUACAUUUUAAUUACCUAGCAAUUCAGGUCCCCUCAAGAAUGCUGUCUGCCCUCUAAAAAUGACUGUAAUAUGGAGAGGUGUUUGUGUCAAUUUGCAUCCAAAGUCAUGUAAAAGUCAACCGUACACACGGCCUGUGAGCUUGUAUUUGCUGUUGAUUUUCCCUAAGAGGUUGUAAUCUGACUUGCUAUUACUUCUGAGUCAUAUAUCCCAUAUACAGAAGAUAUGAGUAUGUGUAAUAUCUGUAGUAUGUGUAAUACGUGCUCCACAAUGCCUGCUGGAUCUAGUGAUAGUGUUACAAAUAAACAAAGAACAACUGAACCAAAUAAUCCCUGAGAGACCAGGAAUACAAAUGCAAGAUGCAGGAUUUCGGUGGACACAGCCUUAGAACAUUAAAAGAACAACCCAUGUUGACUAUAGUUGUGUAAAGGGCAUUCUGUUUAAUCUGUGAAGCUGCUAUGGGUAUGCCUGCUAAUUUUGAUGAUAUAUACUUUUACCAGUAGAAUGAUUUCACAAAGUAUCUUUCUUACAAGAUAUUAGACUAAAUAAGAAAGUCAAGAGUUGGAAGUAACCUAUUUGUCUCCUUCAAAUACUUUGAAAACUCCCCUACUUGAAACAGCUGCCGGGGUGAUGUGGGCAAUAGCACUUUGUGAAUGGCAUAAGAGCACGUGUUGAAUGAGAUGGAUCCCAUUAACACAGCCUGGGAUUUGAUAAACACCAGAGACAAGAGCAAUUGGCUUAACUGAAUUCAUUCAUUUAUUCCGUAGAGUUCUGAUAAAGUGAUCUGCAUGGGUGUAACUAAGAGACUGCAGCCACAUCUGAAAAUCAGGCGAGCUGUGCUUCAGAGCUGCAAAUUGUGGCUCCUCUGAGCUCCUGAGAGCCUGGUCUCUCAAACUACAUUGUGUUUAGCUUGUCUGAAAUCUCACUUAUAUAUCUAUUUUAUGAUUUCAGGUGAAGGCAAGGCCUGGGGGAG